UACGUAGGGGGCUAGCGUUGUCCGGAAUCAUUGGGCGUAAAGAGCUCGUAGGCGGUCUGUCGCGUCGGCUGUGAAAACUCGGGGCUCAACCCCGAGCCUGCAGUCGAUACGGGCAGACUAGAGUGCUGUAGGGGAGACUGGAAUUCCUGGUGUAGCGGUGAAAUGCGCAGAUAUCAGGAGGAACACCGGUGGCGAAGGCGGGUCUCUGGGCAGUAACUGACGCUGAGGAGCGAAAGCGUGGGGAGCGAACAGG
rnacentral:rRNA from 1 species